AAUUUAAAUGAGAUUUAAUUUUCGGAUUAACUCGAAUUUAGAUCCAACAAGGAGGGCUAAGUCGUCACAAGGUAUCCGUAGGGGAACCUGCGGAUGGAUCACCUCCU
rnacentral:rRNA from 1 species